GUUUGACCUUUCCAGUCGCCUAUUUGUGCCUCCCUGGCCUGACUGCUUUCUUUCGAACUGCAGACCAGUACAUCACUAUAGCUGCAGACUGGAAUGGCCUACCCUAUGGCAUCGUCUCCAUCGCUACAUCAUCUACUUUUCAAGAACGCGCAACUGAUCAUUUUCAAUGCCCAUCUUUCCAGGCCCCUCAGCGUGCAAAGCCUCCAGAAAGAUGCCCAUUUGCAUAAUCUGCGGU